rnacentral:lncRNA from 13 species
GUUUAUUUAUGGGACUGUUGGACUUCCCAAGGCGAUUGAUUGGAAAUAAACUGUAUUGAAAAUCUAAAUACUCAGACAGGGAUAUACUGCCACCUUCUGGUGAUAUUUUUCUUUAACCCUGGUGGAUUGUUACAUGGGUUUUUUGUCGAAGAUGUGCACGCUCACACACGGCAAUUUGCAUAGCUGACAUUAAAAGGUUGUAUUUUUACCUUGGCACCAGUCUGUGUUUGCUCUCUUGCCAACUCCUUACGGAAUUAUCUACAAUGCCAAAAAGCAUAAACAAAUCUGAGACCAGGCUAGUUUUGUUUAUGUAGUUUAAGAGAAAUGUAAUCUAAAUCGGUAUGUUUGGUGGGGGUUGCAAAAUGCUUUUAGCAUUGAUUUGCAGCUGUGUAGAAUAGUAAACAUAGUUGCCCAAAUGUUGUAGAUUCAAAUCUCAAAGGAAGCAGACAAAUUCCAGACGUUUUAAUGGCCACUAUUUUAGAAUUCUACUAAUGUGCAGGGCCAUUCCAAUAGAAUUCAGAAUGAUUUCCAAAUGAUUGUUUCCAUAGAGACAUUACAAACCAAGUGUAUAAAAAAUAUUGUUUUAAUUCAAAUAAGCAAAGUGUUGAUUCACUGCAAGACAUGGAGGUGGUUCAGCCCUAUGCAGAGAAAUAUCUUAUGAAGCUGACAUUCUACGCAGAAGACGAUCCUGCCUUCAAUUUAGAUUUCAUGAAGGAAACAUUCUCCAACUCAACAUACACAGUGACAUUGCGACUGACCAAUACAGAGGAGAAGCCUCUGACACAGCAGAACCUGCAGUGUGUGGCCCUCAGCAUCCCGGACCUCCACUACCGUCUCACAGGCCAUCCUUAUGCCCUGGGUCUCCUCCACCUUGCCUACCUCCAGACAUACCCUCUACCCCUGGACUAUAGCCCUCCAGCUAGACCAACCCUGGAUCCCAGAAAGCAGACAUGGGACAGAGUCUCUCUGGAACAUUCCACUAUUCCCCUGACCAAUGUGUCUCUUCCUGAGGGCCAGUUCCAUGGCUCUCAAGGGGAUAGCGAGAGCAGCAGUAUCACUGACUGGUUCCUCUGUGAUGGGUCCUUUGUGCCAGACUUCCCAGGGAAGGAGUGGACCUCUGUGAACUAUGGAGGCCUAGAGUUUAUAAGGGCUUUCUCCCCAAUCAGACAGACUGAUGAUGCAGCUGAUAUACUGGGAAGGUGUAAUAUCACCGAUUACACUGCUUACGAGCAGUUUGUCUUCUCUGUCGAUGUGGACAUCCUCAAGGCAAAAGAUCCUUCAGGAACAGAGGAAUCUAGUCCUGCCUCCAAAAUGUUAAAAGAGAAUAGUUUAGAAAGAGAGGAAGCUAGUCCCGCUUCCAAAAGGGAAGAGGGGAAUAGUUUUGUAAAAGAGGUCACUCGUUUUGAUGACAAAUGGGACAAGGGGAAUAGUUUAGAGAGAAUGCCAGUUCCGCCUACACAUGGGAAGAGAUUAAUAAUUUAG